rnacentral:rRNA from 1 species
GACGAACGCUGGCGGCGUGCUUAACACAUGCAAGUCGAACGGGUCUGCCCUGUUUUUUGCGGGGUGGGUCAGUGGCGAACGGGUGAGUAACACGUGAGUAACCUGCCCCUCACUUCUGGAUAACCGCUUGAAAGGGUGGCUAAUACGGGGUGUUCUUGCUGUGCCGCAUGGUGUGGCUGGGAAAGAUUCACUUUUGUGGUGUUUUGGUGGGGGAUGGGCUCGCGGCCUAUCAGCUUGUUGGGGGGGUGAUGGCCUGCCAAGGCUUUGACGGGUAGCCGGCCUGGGAGGGUAGGCGGUCACACUGGGACUGAGAUACGGCCCAGACUCCGGCGGGAGGCAGCAGUGGGGGGUAUUGAACAGUGGGCGGAAGCCUGAUGCAGCGACGUCGCGGGAGGGACGGAGGCCUUCGGGUUGUGAACCUCUUUCGCCGGUGAAGAAGGUCCUGCUCUUUGUGGUGGGGUUGACGGUAGCCGGGUUAUGAAGCGCCGGCUAACUACGUG